rnacentral:rRNA from 1 species
GACGAACGCUGGCGGCGUGCUUAACACAUGCAAGUCGAACGGAAAGGCCCUUCGGGGUACUCGAGUGGCGAACGGGUGAGUAACACGUGGGUGAUCUGCCCUGCACUUUGGGAUAAGCCUGGGAAACUGGGUCUAAUACCGAAUAGGACCACGCGCUUCAUGGUGUGUGGUGGAAAGCUUUUGCGGUGUGGGAUGGGCCCGCGGCCUAUCAGCUUGUUGGUGGGGUAAUGGCCUACCAAGGCGACGACGGGUAGCCGGCCUGAGAGGGUGACCGGCCACACGGGGACUGAGAUACGGCCCAGACUCCUACGGGAGGCAGCAGUGGGGAAUAUUGCGCAAGGGGCGCAAGCCUGAUGCAGCGACGCCGCGUGAGGGAUGACGGCCUUCGGGUUGUAAACCUCUUUCAAUAGGGACGAAGCGCAAGUGACGGUACCUAUAGAAGAAGCACCGGCCAACUACG